rnacentral:rRNA from 1 species
UACGAAGGGUGCAAGCGUUACUCGGAAUUACUGGGCGUAAAGCGUGCGUAGGUGGUGAGUUAAGUCUGAUGUGAAAUCCCCGGGCUCAACCUGGGAAUGGCAUUGGAUACUAUUCGGCUCGAGGUCUGGAGGGGGGACUGGAAUACUUGGUGUAGCAGUGAAAUGCGUAGAUAUCAAGUGGAACACCAGUGGCGAAGGCGAGUCCCUGGACAGAUCCUGACGCUGAGGCACGAAAGCUAGGGGAGCAAACAGG